rnacentral:rRNA from 1 species
GUGAGAGCAAGAGCCCGGAGAUGGAUUCUGAGACACGAAUCCAGGCCCUACGGGGUGCAGCAGGCGCGAAAACUUUACAAUGCUGGCAACAGCGAUAAGGGAACCUCGAGUGCCAGGUUACAAAUCUGGCUGUCGAGAUGCCUAAAAAGCAUUUCAUAGCAAGGGCCGGGCAAGACCGGUGCCAGCCGCCGCGGUAACACCGGCGGCUCGAGUGGUAACCGUUAUUAUUGGGUCUAAAGGGUCUGUAGCCGGCCGGAUAAGUCUCUUGAGAAAUCUGGCAGCUUAACUGUCAGGCUUUCAGGAGAUACUGUCUGGCUCGAGGCCGGGAGAGGUGAGAGGUACUUCAGGGGUAGGGGUGAAAUCUUGUAAUCCUUGAAGGACCACCAGUGGCGAAGGCGUCUCACCAGAACGGACCUGACGGCAAGGGACGAAAGCUAGGGGCACGAACCGGAUUAGAUACCCGGGUAGUCCUAGCCGUAAACGAUACUCGCUAGGUGUCGGCCACGGUGCGACCGUUGUCGGUGCCGUAGGGAAGCCGUGAAGCGAGC